UGGGGAAUAUUGGACAAUGGGCGCAAGCCUGAUCCAGCCAUGCCGCGUGGGUGAAGAAGGCCUUAGGGUUGUAAACCCCUUUCACCGGUGACGAUGAUGACGGUAGCCGGAGAAGAAGCCCCGGCUAACUCCGUGCCAGCAGCCGCGGUAAUACGGAGGAUGCAAGCGUUAUCCGGAAUUAUUGGGCGUAAAGCGUCCGCAGGUGGCUCUUCAAGUCUGCUGUCAAAGACAGAAGCUCAACUUCUGGCCGGCGGUGGAAACUGGGGAGCUAGAGUACGGUAGGGGUAGAGGGAAUUUCCAGUGUAGCGGUGAAAUGCGUAGAGAUUGGAAAGAACACCAGUGGCGAAGGCGCUCUACUGGACCGAAACUGACACUCAGGGACGAAAGCUAGGGGAGCGAAAGGGAUUAGAUACCCCCGUAGUCC
rnacentral:rRNA from 1 species